GGAGAGCUGGCAGCUGGCAUGUGCUGCUGGGAGUGGUUUUCUGGUUGUGAAGUUUUGCUUCUACUUAGGUGUGGGGUCCUAGAGUGGAGUGCUUAAAAGCUACCUGUCCUUGCUGUUAUUAAAUUCCUUUUCCCACGGUGGAACUGCAGAAGAGGCACUAUGCAAUAACCUGUGAUCAGGAUCCCAGUUAUGUGCUGGAUAGGCAGCUGAAGAAGCUCCUAGACCUGUCUUUCUAAGAUUUGGACAGAGCCUAUAGAUAAGCUUGUCAGAGCAAUUAGAGUUUUGGAUAAGAUGGCUGAAGACCCCUUGAUGUUAAAACGAGAGGUUGGCAUGAUGCUCACACAGCAACUUUGGAGCGUCUCCUUAGGGACUCUCCCCAGGACGUGUGUGGAUGCUGAGCAUGGCAGCGGUGGGGCAUGGCUCCCAGGGAUAGUGUGGACGUGGCACUGUGUGUUCCUGCAGGUCAAUCUCAAUUUAGGCAGAACAAUGGCUCAACCAUAGUGCUGAAGGUGAAUCGUGUUCAGCCUCCUAUUGUGUCGCAGGAGCCGAGGCAGAGGGGUAGAGGGAGAAUUUGCAUUGCCUGACAGCUCUGGUACGCGGUGUUUGGGGACAAAUAUAGUAAACCUUUAUUUUCU
rnacentral:lncRNA from 7 species